AUAGAUAAGGACACACAUGUUUCAAGUCGUUACCUUAACUAUAUUGUUCAAAUGUAAUCCUUUCGGUACGCAAAUUGUGUUGAUCUAAAGCGAUUCGCCACGCAGAGUAUAUUCAUAUGGCAAGAUAGCGCAGAUCAGACUCCAAAAGAAAGAUCAUUAUUUUCAUGGACAACGAUGAUAUGCUCGAGGAAGUAUAAGGGAAAAAAAAUCAUCCAAAUUGAUUAACAGAUGCGACAUGUAAUCGAUUCUGAAGACUCGCAACAACAGCCAGCCGGUAUAUUAGAUCCACAGGAUCAAUACCGCAAACAUUCGCAUUUUUGAAGUCAAUCGCCGUCGGAACUCAGUCCGUAGAAACCGGGAAAGCUCUAGUGUCUUCAGAGUCGCAGUCCGCUUUCGCCGGAAUGCCAACAUUUAAUUUAUCCCCGCCGAAAAAAAAUUCGGAGGGGAUAUAGUAAUUGGUCCUGUCCGUCUGUCCGUCCGCCCGUCUCUCCGUCCGUCCGUCCGUCUGUCCGUCCGGCCGAAACUUUGUCCGGAGCAUAACUCCAAAUCUAUUCAAUGGAUUUACUAUAAACUUAGAAUAUAAACAGAUGGCAACUAGGAGAAGUGCAGUGACCAAGAACCAUAACUCUAUCUACCUUAGUUUUUUAAUUAUCUCCCCUUUUAUAUAACUUUAAAGUAAAUUUUGUCCGGAGCAUAACUCUAAAUAUACUAUAGGGAUUGACUUGAAACUUUCUUUGAAGCAGCCAUCAAAGCGAUUUUUCCGAAUGCAGCUAUGUUGGACUAACGGUUGGAUGCGUGGUCCUGCGAAAUCGCCAGAGGAUUUGUCUACGAUAUAUCAGGCGGUAAUGUGGUCGUGUUGUAAAUUACGGCUGGUGAUGUGGUCUUCGGAUAUUGCCAGAGGAUGGAGCUACGACAUGACGUCUGUUGAUUGAUCUUCCGCUAACACCAGAGGGAGGAGCUACGAUUUGACAGAACGUGACGCGGGAAUAGCGUCUGAUAACGUGGUGCGCGUAGACCAUGCGCCGUUUGAACGGGAGCAUUUAUAUUUCAUCAGCGGGUUUAGAAAAAUGUUCAGUUGGGGCAAUGAUUAAUGUAAAACAGCACGAAAUUGCUUUGAAAUUAAAUACAUCAUUUCCAAUUAUAACAAAAAUAUAAUGAGAAUAAAACAAAUUCCAAGGGUGUAUGCAUUGAAACCUGCAUUGACAUGAUUUAUUAUCGUUUUCUUUCUUUUAUUUUCUCAAGUAUCACCAGUCUGUUGUUGCUUUCGUUUAAAGACAACAAGCCCAUGCACACUUCUUAAAUGCCUCUUAGUUCGAGUAUAUUCACUUCCUCGUAGAUACUUAACUUCUCCUUUAAGCGAAACUCUUUGGGAUGAUAAGUGCUCAACACAAAAGUGCAAUAAAAAGUGUCUGAAGUGCAUACACGACAUUGACAUUGUUCGCAAUGUGAAAAGAGUUUUCACUUCCUUUCUAUACUUCAUGUACCUUCCUUUCUAUACUUCACGUACAUGGUUUUGAAUUAGUGGUGUGGAGAUUUAAAUUGCAUAUUCAAAGAAUAGUAGAUUACAUGAAUAUGUUUGUUUCGUCAUAUUGUAAGAUAUGACAUGAGUAACGUAAUGGCAUUAUUAACAUCAAACAUGAACGAAUGUCAGAAAAACAAGUUUACUGAUAAAUUUAACCUUACAUUGUUUAAAAAAAAGCCAUAUAUCGGUGAAUGAAGUACAAAACACAUGUUGUUUGCGCGUGAAGUAUUGCAAUUAUUACAAUAAUGAAAAUCUCAUUAUAAAUCUUAACUUUCCAGACGUGUAAAACGUCGUUUGUUUUUCAGUAUAUAAUGCAUAUUAAUAAUGCAAGAGCGAUAAAGAAUAUUUUAGAAACGUCUUGUAUUAUUAACAAUAAUGAGAACAAUAAUUAGUUCCUUAGCGAUGCGCAAUCCAUAGUUGGUACAACAACAAAUGGUGGUGCGGUGGUCGAGUGGUAACACUAUGGUCUACCAUUCCAGAGGUCCCCGGUUCAAAUCCCGGCCGGGGCACUGGAAAUUUCAGAAAUGCUUCAAGUGUUUCCCACCCAACUAGAGAUGUACUGGUAUGAAACCCAGGUAAUUCUCGCGUGUAUCGGUGCUAUACACUGAGCACGUAAAAGAACCAAGGUAUCUAUUCGCAAAGAGCUAGAGUAUCGCACCCGGAUUCCUUGUAUCCCAAUACUGUCUCCUCUGCUUGCUGUCUCUUCAGCAAAAAAACAAAACAAAAAAGGACCCCAUUGGAAAUAAGUGCUUGCACUUUCAUGGGUUAUCCUUGACCGCAAGGUCAAAAUAAAUACAAACAAAUACAAAUAAAAAUAAUACAAGUAACAUAUGAGCAUGUAAAUAUAAAUAAUACAUACAACAUAAUGUUUUCAUAAAAACAAUGUUUUAUAAAAAUUUAGGGUUUCUUCUUGUUAGUGAUACAAACAAUAACUCAGUAUUUAAAUAGAGCAUUUUGGUCAGCUGGUUUAUUUCCAAACAUAGUUUUGCAAGACAAUAUAUAUUAUAUAAUUACAACCUUAAAAUAAAUAUCAUACAAACAUUCAAUGUACCACCAUAUGUUUGGAGUACUAAUAGACAGCUUAUAAUAAGGCAACUUUAAGCUUGUCGUAUGUUAAUGCUUCUUGCUACGCCCAUUGUAUACAAGCACCCCAAAGCGAUCACCCAAGACACAAGUGAACUCAUUAGUUCCGAGCUGGUAAUGCCACAGUUAAGAAUCUGUAGUAAACGGAAUGUAACCAUCUUCUUACACGGCCCAUAAACAAUAAAAUAAAUGUUCUGAACAUGUUUCAUUGUGAUUUGGCGAAACUGUGGUUUUGAGAGUGCUCGCAAGGCUUCACAAUAUCAAUUUAAGGAAAACUGGCCCGCCCCCUUGCGGUAUUUCUUAUGAAUGGACCAAAACUAUUUUGGAACUCAGACGUAAUAUUCUUAGUAAAAAUGUUCUGAUAAAUGUGUAUGACGAUUGGAAAAGGUGUGAAUGGUAUUAAUUAAAGGAUGUUCACACGGUUAAUUCUCGCCAUACUGUAAGGCAAACUUUCUCGCCCUGUGGAGGCCAUGUUUUUUUCAAAAGGACCGGAACCACUUUCGAACUGAGAUAGCAUUAUAACAAGUGCUGUAAGCAAUUUUCACGAUGAUUGGGCAAAAAUGUUUUAUUUAACUUAACCAAGUGUUCUUUUUGUUGACCCAGUUUUGAAGUCGGUCGAGAUACAAAUGGGAUAAAUAUUCUAACGCACGAUUGAUGACGAACGAUGUACAAAUGGUAAUCAUGUAAUUUCACAAUGAGCACGUUGUGCUCAGGUAAGCUAAAAUGCAUUUCUGAAUAAGAAUAUUAUAAUCUAUAAUAAACCCACUGCUAUCCAUGUUUAUAAAUAAGAAUAUCAAAACACCCAACAUAUGCAAUUUAGCAAACAAAAAAUAAUACAAUUAAUAUUUAAAAAAUGUUUCGCAGUAGGUGUCCUAACAUCACGUAAUAAAAACUUUAAUAAAUAAAACUUUAAAGUUGACUUAAAAAUAUCUGGACGUAUGUACAUGUGUCAAUAUUAAUGCCUGCUAACACUUUUACUCUGCAUAACGUUAUUUCUAACAAGCUUUAUUUGACAGUUAACUAGUUUGCCACUGUAUUGCCUGUAAAGAGCGAUUAUGCAUUUAAGACCUGACACAAAAAUGUACACACGUAUUGUGUCGUCCACCAGUUAUCGUACAUUCAUCUGCUACCUUAAUACACUGCAUUUAGCUCUUGUCGAAUAAACAUCUGUAAAAGUGUAGUGUCUGACUCAGAGCAAAUGAACACGUUUAAUUUCACAUGCAAUAGUUAAUUGCAUUGUAGGUUUCAUCCAAUUAUCGAGAUUUUAACAGCACUUGCCAUGUUUUAAAGUACAACGAUGUUAUUUCAUUCAAAUCAUUCUAUCAGUUGAGAAUUUGCACAUUCGCAUUGUCCAUGAGUUUAUUUCUAUUUUGUUUUCACCGGCAUUAUCUGGAAUCACGUCUGGAACAAGGCAAUCUGCCUAUAUACAGCUGUCUCUUGAAAUGCUCUUCAAGAGUUGUCGACCAUUGCUUAAUAUCAGCAAGCGUGUCGAGUAAAUAUUAUCUUGAAUAGCAUUUAAUCACAAAUGAUCACAGUACUUACACGGCACAGAGUGGUCGAUUCAUUCGCCUAGUAGCGCAUACACUGCAUUAAAAUGUUCACUGUCUGUAUGUACAUGCUAUUCUUUUGUUUUGGUAUAAAUAUAGUUAAUAUAUUGCAUGCUAUUUAAACACCGGGAAUAAUAACAUGAAUGUUUACCUUUUAAAAUGUUGUAGCUUACGAUAGAACUCCAUUCUGAGGUUCGCUGCCUUUCCUUGUCCAGGAUAUAACGUUAUGUAGCUGGAUCUCUGUAGCCUGUGCGCAUUCCACGUGGGAUUCGAUCUCGCUUUCCGUUGGCGAUGAGGAAGCAGCGGCCUCCUUUCGAUCGCAACAUACGCACGUAACCGUCGUCAAGAGCGCGGUCGCCACACGAGUUAUACUAGACAUGCUGGAUUGCCUCGCCUUGUUCUGGUGGAUGCGAAUGACGAUGGGGAGCACACCUGGGAGACCGAUGACAUAUCAGAAUUAUUUUCGUUCAACUGCAGGACCCCAUCUUGGGGUGGGGUCCUGUCCCAAUGAAUUAUUGUCCAAUUGACAUAUGUUGUUAUAAGAAUAUUUUAUAGACUUGGGAGCGUUAUGUCAGUUAACAUAAUAUAUUUCAAUAAACAGUUCUAUGAGUUGGUUGCGUCAUUGUUGCACCGAACUUCGCUACACUUGUUUCCUGAAGUAACUACAUGUAUAUCAUUACAUAAGCACAGCGCUAUUUAAGUAAACAUUAUUGUUUUUCAUGUAAAUAUCGAUCGCAGAAAAGUACCAAAACUAGUCAUAUACUAGUUGCUUAUGUAUUUUUCCUAACAAAAUAGUACUUAAAAGAUAUAUAUUCGACAAACUUAUAAUUGGUGUU